GCUAUUUAGGUGAUGAAGGGCCAAUCCUCUGCUUGGGGGCUGUGCCUUCUCUUCAUUACCUCACCUUAUGUUGGGCUGUGGUUGGGACUUGGUCUUGGCCAUCCCCAGGUGCAUGUGGCACCCAUCCUCAGCAGCACCCGAGAGCUGCAUUGCUGGGAGAGGCGCAGGGGAGAAGCCACCUGCCUAAUUAAACAGCAGCAACAAGCUUUGCGUCGCCAGCCAUGCCUGAGCACAAUGUGAAUUUCAGUGACACUUAGAAGAGGAAAUGUGCUGCCUUCUGGGUCUCUCCACUAAUAUUUGGAAGCCUGAUAGCUGUGUCUCGAGCCCAGGUGGUACAAGCUUAUAAAUAACUCAUGGAGCCUGGUUUCAAGUCCAGCCCGUGGCUGGCUACCUACAGCAGCUCUCACUGCCACCACACAAAGCAGGUCUGGAUAUCUGCCCCAUGCAGAGCAUCCUCAGCACCCAGAGCCCUGCUGGGGAGAGGGAUGGCACCGCAGGGUGGCACUGGCCUUGCAGUGGGACACUUGAGCACAAAGCCCCGCAUGCAGCUCUUUGCAGCAUGGCUUGUGGGGGUUGCAGUUCCCUGCCUGUAGGAGAAGGGACUGAGGAGCCGAUGGGAAGGCGUUGGGUCUUGGGUGCACAGAGCGUGGGGGCUUUGCCAUGCUGUAAUCUAAAUGCAGAUGUCAGACAGUGAGAGCUGCUGUGUAAAUAACAUCCCCCGUGAUAUGAGAUACGUCAUUUGUAAUGAAGCUAUGAAAGCUGCAACUGAGCAAGACGUGCUGUCUGGGAAGAGAGGCAUCAGAUAAAGUGGCAACUCAAUUAACAGGAGCAGGCUGGGGCGAGCGAGCCAUGCCGCAGGGCUGGAAUGCAUUGCAAAAGCCAGGCUGCUCGCAGGCAGCUGGCACCCCGCACCCUCCUGGCCUCCAGGAGGCACCAGGGGCAGAGAAGUGGGGAGGAGGAAAGACCCCGAGCCUGCCAGGGGCUUGGUGGGUGUAGGCUGGGCACUCAUGGACCACUUGUGCUGGCUGGGGACUCUGCUUUUGGAAGACACUUUGGGGAAACACCAGCUGGGUGUCAGACACAGCUUAUAGCAUGGCACAUUUAACUCUAAUGAUCAUGUAAAUAUAUAUGCAUACUGUAUAUAUAGUCCUUCUGCUGGGCUGGAAUCACGCUUUUUUACGGUGUUCAGGAUGGCCUCAGAUAAAACAGUCACCAGGGAGCCGCUGCAGACAGACCGGCGCUGAGCGAGCCCCUGCUGGCUGCGGCAGGGCUGAUGGUUACAGAGCUUGGGCUGCUCCUGCUGAGGCGCAGGCGUCAGUUUGGUGUCUGGUGCUGCCAGGUGGAGGAACAAGGGGGAAGCUCCCCCUCGGCAAGGACGGGCAUGGCUGGGGAGCUCAUGCAUAGGGAACGCAGCAGCAGUAAUGCAACUCAUGGCCCUGGCUCUAUGGGGUAGCGUGAGUCAGAGCAGGGAAGGGAUUACUCAAGGCCUAAAAGAAA